UACGUAGGGUGCAAGCGUUACUCGGAAUUACUGGGCGUAAAGCGUGCGCAGGCGGUGAUGUAAGACAGAUGUGAAAUCCCUGGGCUCAACCCAGGAACUGCGUCCAAGACUGGGAGGCUUGAAUCCGGGAGAGGGAUGCGGAAUUCCAGGUGUAGCGGUGAAAUGCGUAGAUAUCUGGAGGAACACCGGUGGCGAAGGCGGCAUCCUGGACCGGUAUUGACACUGAGGCGCGAAAGCCAGGGGAGCAAACGGG
rnacentral:rRNA from 1 species